rnacentral:rRNA from 1 species
CCUACGGGAGGCAGCAGUGAGGAAUAUUGGUCAAUGGGCGGAAGCCUGAACCAGCCAAGUAGCGUGCGGGAUGAAGGCUCUACGGGUCGUAAACCGCUUUUGCACGGGGAUAACACCCUCCACUUGUGGAGGUCUGCAGGUACCGUGCGAAUAAGGGCCGGCAAAUUCCGUGCCAGCAGCCGCGGUAAUACGGAGGGCCCGAGCGUUAUCCGGAUUCAUUGGGCUUAAAGGGAGCGUAGGCGGGCGUUCAAGUCAGCGGUAAAAUCGCGCGGCUCAACCGCGCCCCGCAGUUGAAACUGGACGCCUUGAGUUCACGACAGGCAGGCGGAAUUCGUGGUGUAGCGGUGAAAUGCAUAGAUAUCACGAGGAACUCCGAUUGCGAAGGCAGCCUACUAAACUGCCACUGACAUUGAUGCUCGAAAGUGUGGGUAUCAAACAGGAUUAGAUACCCGUGUAGUC